CAGUCGCCACGGUAAUACGUAGUGUGCAAGCGUUAAUCGGAAUUACUGGGCGUAAAGCGUGCGCAGGCGGUUAUAUAAGACAGAUGUGAAAUCCCCGGGCUCAACCUGGGAACUGCAUUUGUGACUGUAUAGCUAGAGUACGGCAGAGGGGGAUGGAAUUCCGCGUGUAGCAGUGAAAUGCGUAGAUAUGCGGAGGAACACCGAUGGCGAAGGCAAUCCCCUGGGCCUGUACUGACGCUCAUGCACGAAAGCGUGGGGAGCAAACAGGAUUAGAUACCCGCGUAGUCCCUGUCUCUUAUAC
rnacentral:rRNA from 1 species